rnacentral:rRNA from 1 species
AUACGGAGGGUGCGAGCGUUAUUCGGAAUCACUGGGCGUAAAGGACGCGUAGGCGGGUUGGCAAGUCAGAUGUGAAAUCCUACAGCUUAACUGUAGAACUGCAUUUGAAACUGCUAACCUAGAGUAUGGGAGGGGGAGAUGGAAUUAGUGGUGUAGGGGUAAAAUCCGUAGAUAUCACUAGGAAUACCGAAAGCGAAGGCGAUCUCCUGGAACAUAACUGACGCUAAGGCGUGAAAGCGUGGGGAGCAAACAGGAUUAGAAACCCUAGUAGUCC